GUUAGCUGUUUGGCUAGUAGCUGUGUGGGACUGGGUGUCCUGUGGUGUAUUUUGUCUCAAUUGAAGAACUGUUUUCCUGAUGGAAUAAAUUCAGGACCACCAUGUAUUUGUCUGGUAGUGCACCUUAAAGGUUGAAGGAGACAAAUAAGCAGGGCCCACCUGAAGCCCAGGAGAACACCGUUAGAGCUGGCAUGCCAGCGGACGCCCAGCUAGAGCCCCUGCUAAUUAUCAGACCUCUUCAUGAGUGACAUCUGCCUCCUACUCCUCCAUUAGAACAUCACCAGUGACAUGAAAAAGCCAGAGAGAAAGAACACAAUUUAUUGGGGCUCCUCUAGGCUCUUUUAGAACAGCAUCAUGACUUUGUGGAGGUUAUAUCUGUAUCUUUUCACACACUUAAUGAUAGAUGUAUAGUUUCAGAAGUCUUUUGUGUGUUUCUGUUGUGAUAAGGCCCACCUGGUGAUCGGUGCAGUCUGGUUUAUGGUGGGAGGCUUUUUAAUCAGCCUUAUCAAUGCAGAAAGUAAUUUGUUUAGGGUCAGAAGCUAAUUAGCCACAAUUUGUCACUGAUAUAUACUGUAGCCCCUAAUGACUUGGAAAAGAGUUUGCUUAAAUAAUAAAUGCUGUUCAAACAUGCAGUGCAUAUUAUUUUAAAGGGUUCAUAUCUUAUGUUUUCAUUUAAAAAAAAUGUAUGAGGUCCACUUAUAGUAAAACAUUUAGUCUUAUUUUAAUUUAUCAUGACCUGUCAAUUACACCAAACCAGGUGAGAUGCAAUCAGAAUGGACUGAAACGAUCACAGACCUUGUUAAAAAUAAACCACAGUCUUUAUUUCCUAUGCUUCAUGGGAUUGUAGUUCAUGCCCUCAUGAAAGACUGUAAGUAAACAGUCUUUUGUCUUUUUGUCCAAUUUUCAAAUACAUUUUUGCCUCAAACAAAAGUUUGUAAUGUUGUGAUUCCCCAUAGAGCUGACUGCUUUGGAUCAUGGUUUACAACUCUUUUAUGGAGAAUUUUAUGAAAUUCCUACGGACGGCUGAAAUAGUGGGCGGGCACUGUUACGCUCUAUAGGUGUUGUUGACAUGUAAAUGUGGCUGUUCAUACAGUAUGUUACUGUUUCAUGUAUCUGACAUCAGAAAUCCAAGGAUUUCAGUAUAAGAUGUUUUUGCAGCUUGGUUUUAAUU